UGCGACCCAUCCUUCUUCCUCACAAACAGUAUCGGCGCUCCCCAGGGCGAACUACUCGGCCGAAUGAAACCCUUGUCUAGCAGCUCUUGCAGUUGCGUAGACAACUCCUGCAUCUCAGGGGGAGCUAGGCGAUACGGUGCCUUGGCUAUCGGAGCCGCACCAGGAAUCAGGUCGAUCCUAAACUCAACCUGCCUCUCAGGAGGUAUUCCCGGUAAAUCCUCGNAACUCAACCUGCCUCUCAGGAGGUAUUCCCGGUAAAUCCUCGGGAAAUACAUCCGGGUAGUCUCGCACUACCGGAACAUCAUCUACUGCUACCUUACCCUUCUCCCGGGCAUCUACUACAUAAGCUAUAUAU
rnacentral:lncRNA from 1 species